rnacentral:rRNA from 1 species
UACAGAGGUCUCAAGCGUUGUUCGGAUUCAUUGGGCGUAAAGGGUGCGUAGGCGGCGCGGUAAGUCGGGUGUGAAAUCUUGGAGCUUAACUCCGAAACUGCAUUCGAUACUGCCGUGCUUGAGGACUGGAGAGGAGACUGGAAUUUACGGUGUAGCGGUGAAAUGCGUAGAUAUCGUAAGGAAGACCAGUGGCGAAGGCGGGUCUCGUGGGACAGUUCCUGACGCUGAGGCACGAAGGCCAGGGGGAGCAAAAGGG